rnacentral:tRNA from 1 species
GGCGAAUGGCGCAGCGGCUAGCGCAGCGGUCUUACACACCGUUGGUCGGGGGUUC